AAUCCAUGAUGUGGGAUCUCCUAAGAAAGUCCUUGAAUCUUUCCCAUGCUUCAUAAAAUGACUUAUUAUUCAUCUACAUACGAAUAGUAAUAUCGUUACGUAUUUU